AUGAUUGUAGAAAGAAAGCUUGAGGGGUAGUUAUGACAUUCUAUAAAGGUGAAGGGUUGUCAGUCAAUAAAGUGUAGGGACUGAUUGUGCUAAUCAGAAAGUUAGGUUGUUAAUUAACCCUUGUUAACAGUUUAAAAGGUGGAGAGCAGCUCAGAAUUAGGGUUAGACUAAGUUUUGCUAAUUCGUUUCAUUCUCUUAGUAAUUCCUUUGUUCUUCAUAUUGUAAUUCGACUUCAUGUCUAAUAAGAUCUAAUCGUUCGAAGAGUUCAGCUUGGUUAAUGUUCUUUGGUGUUAUUCUUAACAAAUGUAAGUUGUAAACACUCCACUAUUCUUGAAAACGUGUCUUCUUUUUGUAGCCCUGACUAAUUGCAUAAGUGGAAACUGUGAGGUUAUAAACACUCGCCUACGUGUCCGACGCCACAAGGAUGACAUUGAGGACAUUUUUGCCUUAUGUGGUGUAACUACCCUAGUGACGCUCUAGGGAGACUCAAGUCGCUCCUCAUUAAGGAUUAAAAUGAUUUGCUAAACUAGUCACUUUGUUGCUCUAUCAAGGUCUUGGUGAUUUAAAUAGAAAAAAACACCUUUUAUUGGUUCAUAAUGUCCUCAACAUUUGGAAUUUGAAGAAUGCAAUCCGAAACCUGUAUUUGCCAGCACAUGCCUCGCAAGUGUGAUUCAUCAUUCACAUAGGAGGAAGGUUCAACCUCGAAAAGACCCAUUUUUUAAAUUUUGUGCAUCUUUGGCAAGUAUCAUACACUAAAAAAGACAACUCAUAUCAAUCAAAUAUAAGGUAGUUCUAUGUGCAUUUAGGUUAUCCAGCCAGUUAAAAGACUCGAGUAGCAGUUCAUGUGCCAGUUGCAUCUUAUUCCAACUGUAUCAAGGUAAUUUUUCCUCACUAGAGCACCCAGCAUCUCGUGAAUAUCAUCACCUACGAAAUACCAAAGACCAACAAACACACGACGACAGAUUGUUGAGGUCAACACUUCCAAAAUACUGCUGCCAAUUUUUUCAAAGCGGUGGCAUCUUUCACUUAUCGAUUGUAAGAUUGCAAGACUAUUGACAGUGGGUUGCUACGGUUUUAAAUUUUUGCAGAUUACUAGUUGAUACAUCUCGGUACCAACGAAGCGUUUAUCCGAGCUCAGAUCCUAGAAAUAUGUCAUAAAGAUUGGGUAAUAUAUGCAUACUGAUUAGGGAUUUUUGUAAGAAGUUUGUAAUCAAGUAUCACCACCACACUGUUGACACUAACUGGUAUAUGUCUGUAUGGGUCCCUUUUGUCACUCAGCUCAUAGAACUAGGGCUUCCUGUAUAAACAAAUGAAACCCUAGAUUUGCUAAUUGCUAUGAAUGAGUGAUUGUUAAUUACCUUUUGGUAGAGAGAAUUCAAUAUUUUUCUU
rnacentral:lncRNA from 1 species